GGAUGUGAGGGCGAUUUGUCACCCCAUUGACUGCCAGGGUUGAUUUGGUGGGUAUCUCCUUCCUCCCUCACUCUAUGUGUGUCCCUCCCAAAGCAUCAUACUCUGUCAAAGAAGACAACCUUCCCCGGUCUUUGGUCAAGGGUAUACAAGUAGCUGCACUCCCCUGCUAAAACCUCCAAACAAGCUCUGAGUCUGGAUCAGCUACAUAGUGAAUUUGACUUCCAAGUCAGCCUGGGCUACAGU
rnacentral:snRNA from 1 species